rnacentral:rRNA from 1 species
ACGCUGGCGGCAGGCCUAACACAUGCAAGUCGAGCGGUAGAGAGAAGCUUGCUUCUCUUGAGAGCGGCGGACGGGUGAGUGAUGCCUAGGAAUCUGCCUGGUAGUGGGGGAUAACGUCCGGAAACGGACGCUAAUACCGCAUACGUCCUACGGGAGAAAGCAGGGGACCUUCGGGCCUUGCGCUAUCAGAUGAGCCUAGGUCGGAUUAGCUAGUUGGUGGGGUAAUGGCUCACCAAGGCGACGAUCCGUAACUGGUCUGAGAGGAUGAUCAGUCACACUGGAACUGAGACACGGUCCAGACUCCUACGGGAGGCAGCAGUGGGGAAUAUUGGACAAUGGGCGAAAGCCUGAUCCAGCCAUGCCGCGUGUGUGAAGAAGGUCUUCGGAUUGUAAAGCACUUUAAGUUGGGAGGAAGGGCAGUUACCUAAUACGUGAUUGUUUUGACGUUACCGACAGAAUAAGCACCGGCUAACUCUGUGCCAGCAGCCGCGGUAAUACAGAGGGUGCAAGCGUUAAUCGGAAUUACUGGGCGUAAAGCGCGCGUAGGUGGUUCGUUAAGUUGGAUGUGAAAUCCCCGGGCUCAACCUGGGAACUGCAUUCAAAACUGACGAGCUAGAGUAUGGUAGAGGGUGGUGGAAUUUCCUGUGUAGCGGUGAAAUG